rnacentral:rRNA from 1 species
UCAGGAGCGAACGCUGGGCGGCAUGCUUAACACAUGCAAGUCGCACGAACCUUUCGGGGUUAGUGGCGGACGGGUGAGUAACGCGUAGGAAUCUGUCCAUGGGUGGGGGAUAACUCUGGGAAACUGGAGCUAAUACCGCAUGAUACCUGAGGGUCAAAGGCGCAAGUCGCCUGUGGAGGAGCCUGCGUUCGAUUAGCUAGUUGGUGGGGUAAAGGCCUACCAAGGCGAUGAUCGAUAGCUGGUUUGAGAGGAUGAUCAGCCACACUGGGACUGAGACACGGCCCAGACUCCUACGGGAGGCAGCAGUGGGGAAUAUUGGACAAUGGGGGCAACCCUGAUCCAGCAAUGCCGCGUGUGUGAAGAAGGUCUUCGGAUUGUAAAGCACUUUCGACGGGGACGAUGAUGACGGUACCCGUAGAAGAAGCCCCGGCUAACUUCGUGCCAGCAGCCGCGGUAAUACGAAGGGGGCUAGCGUUGCUCGGAAUGACUGGGCGUAAAGGGCGUGUAGGCGGUUUGUACAGUCAGAUGUGAAAUCCCCGGGCUUAACCUGGGAGCUGCAUUUGAUACGUGCAGACUAGAGUGUGAGAGAGGGUUGUGGAAUUCCCAGUGUAGAGGUGAAAUUCGUAGAUAUUGGGAAGAACACCGGUGGCGAAGGCGGCAACCUGG